CAGUCGCCACGGUAAUACGUAGGUGGCAAGCGUUGUCCGGAAUUAUUGGGCGUAAAGGGAGCGUAGGCGGGUCGUUUAGUCAGAGGUGAAAUCCCGGGGCUCAACCUCGGAACUGCAUUGGAGACUGCACGGCUAGAGUGCGUCAGAGGGGGGUAGAAUUCCGCGUGUAGCAGUGAAAUGCGUAGAGAUGCGGAGGAAUACCGAUGGCGAAGGCAGCCCCCUGGGAUGACACUGACGCUCAUGCACGAAAGCGUGGGGAGCAAACAGGAUUAGAUACCCCUGUAGUCCAUGUCUCUUAUAC
rnacentral:rRNA from 1 species